rnacentral:rRNA from 1 species
GUGUCAGCAGCCGCGGUAAGACGUAGGAUGCGAGCGUUGUCCGGAUUUAUUGGGCGUAAAGAGUUCGUAGGCGGUUCGUUAAGUCUGAUGUUAAAGAUCGGGGCUCAACCUCGAAGGUGCAUUGGAUACUGGCGGACUUGAGUGCAGUAGAGGCGAGUGGAAUUCUCAGUGUAGCGGUGAAAUGCGUAGAUAUUGGGAAGAACACCGGUGGCGCAGGCGACUCGCUGGGCUGUAACUGACGCUGAGGAACGAAAGCUAGGGGAGCAAAUGGGAUUAGAAACCCUCGUAGUCC